CGAAGCCACUGUAUUUUUAGAUCUGGCUGUGGUGGCUGAAGACGCGACGAUGGAGCGUUGCGGUGGCUCCGAUCUGGUUGUGGCCACAGUUUUGGAUUGAUGAAGUCGGGGUCGUGUUUUGACGAUGGUUGUUGUUUUUGGUGAUGUGGGUGUAGGGUUUGGUCGAUUCAAGUGUUGUGGUUGUUUGAAGGUCUGGUGGUUUCUUGGAUUGAUGAGGCUUGAAGAUGAUGCAGGUCUCGUGGUUUAGUGUUUAUGGAAUUCAUGAACUUUGUAUUAAUUGGUUUUGAUUCUAGUUUGGUUUGAUUUCAAAAAUGUUUUGGAUGAAUGUGAA
rnacentral:lncRNA from 1 species